UCUCCGUUGGUGAACCAGCGGAGGGAUCAUUACAAGUAGAGUUUACGAACUCUUAAACCCUUUGUGAACCUUACCUAUCGUCAGUUGCUUCGGCGGGAGGCCCCUGGGAGGGGCCCCGGGGCCCGGUCCUGAGCCGGGCUCUCGCCGGAGGAGCGCAAGCCUAAACUCAUUGUUGUACCAUCAGUGGAAACUCCGAGUAAAAAAAAAAAAAUAACAAGUUAAAACUUUCAACAACGGAUCUCUUGGUUCUGGCAUCGAUGAAGAACGCAGC
rnacentral:misc_RNA from 1 species